AGGUUUCCUUGGCAUCCCCACAUUACACCAAGUUUUGGCAAGUCCAGCCCAACUGACAGACUUUCCGUCACGCUUCUCUACAGCUACUUAAACCACACUUUACCCUGUAAUGGAAUACCUCCCAUUUGGGGAAGAGGAAGGGGCUCCCCCAGGCGGGAUUCAACACGAUGACAGUUCCUAAAGUGCCGAAGGAAACCCCACCCCUGAGAUCAAACUAGAGGAGAAGGACAAGGUAAGAGGGAGCCUGGAGAGCAGAGGUCUCAAAGGAAGACCAGAGGACAGGCUGGUAACUACAGGCUCUGAGGACACCAAGAUGAGUAGUACCUGGUCCCCUCCCAGAGGAGUGUUGCACACUGGCAGAGAUGGGGAGUGGAGCAUGGAAGAAGUACUGGCCAUUCUGCCUCUGGAAACCUGAGGCAGACGACUGAUCUGAGGUCUGACCUUCUCCAAGCUCCUGGAAGGACCCUGGGACUCAUGUGGACCACACUUUUCUUCAUACUGCACUGUGCCCUUCUCAAGUCUUCCUCUGUGUGGCAGUUUUCUGCCCCAUUUGUCAGUCUUCAUUUGAGUAGUGUUCAGGGAGGCUGGUUGGAGACCGUAGGAAUAGGUGCAGAAUGGAGAGCACCCUCUUGUGGAUCUCCGUGGAGGCAGUGUGGGAAGACCCAGGAUUGCCUGCCUCUCCGGUCUUCUGGCGCUCACUUGGGUACUCUCCCGACCCCUCGUUUGCCUGGGGUGGUAAAGGCAGGGGAGAAGAGUCCUCCCAAAUCUUGCCACGCCCUAGUGGAGAGUACAGGCUCAAUUUUAGGGGUGUCCUGUGCCCUGGGCUUUAGGGUAUAAAACUGAGAGAAGAGAAGGAGUCAGAGAAAUGGGAAUUGGGAAAACAAAAACAAAAGGAAGGAAGAAUCAGAGACGGAAAAAAUAGGUCCACCAAAAUGGACUGAGAUCAUGCUUGGGGGGAAAUUACAAAGACUGUACUUUCUUCAUUCUCUGGGUUCACAGACCUCUGCUAGUCCCCAGACACCCCUCUUUUUGCAACGAAGACAGUGAUGCUCAAACCAGCACCCAGGUAAGUGGGGCCCAAAUCUAGCCAAGUUGGGCAGGGCUGGCCCUUAAGGAGAGACAUCCAAGCAGCCCCUCCCCAUUUGGGAAAGACUCUGAGGUGGACUUACGGCCUGGUUGUAGCCUUGUGUAUCUGGCCAGCCCCAGGAGAGCCAGUGCCUCUAGGCCCCAGUCUGGCCCCUGGUUCUAUUCCACACCCAGCCUGUCUGCUAACCAAUGACAAUGACCAUGCCAAAUAUGUCUUCUGAGACCAAAGUCCUUCUGAGGCUAUCCUGGAUCCUCACUUGGGAGAGGCAUCCAGGGCCGUGGGGAUGCUUGCCUUAUAUGGCCAUGGUCAUAGGGUGAAAGUGGGGAUACAGAUGAGAGGAUAAAGGUAUUAGUCCCAGUACUGGAGGCUUUUACAAGUAGUAGGCAGUCUCUGUGAUGCUCCCCAGUGAUCCCUGCUUCCUGUGUAAUCUCUCUCCCCUUGUAGAAUUACCGUCCCUUCAGUGUGGGCUGUACCUAGAGAUUUGCUUCUAAUUAAUAGAAUAUGGCAAAAGUGAGGGGAUGUCACUUCUGAGGUUAGGUUAUCAAAAGACUGUGGAUUCCAUCUUGCUUGCUCUCUCAGGCUCUCUUGCUUACUUGUUCUGAUGAAGUGAGCUGUCAUGUUGUGAGCUGCCCUAUGAAGAGACUCACAUGGCAAAGAGCUGAGAGAAGCUACCAGCCAACAGUCAGUGAGAAACUGAGGUCUUCAGUCCUCAGUCCCACAACCCAUAAGGAACUGAAUUCUGCCAACAACCGUGUAAAUGAACUUGGAAGUAGAUCCCUCCCCAUUCAAACCUUCCAAUGAGAUUGCAGCCCCAGAUGAUACCUUGAUUGCAACCAUGUGAGAGGAAAGCACACUAGAAGAUGGUUGGAUGAAUGUAUGAUGGCCUAAUUCAUAUUGUCUACCACACUUUCCAUGAAGGUGGCUUGGAUGGAACUCCAUUCUCUCUCCCAGAAAUUCCGCGGACUCAACCCAGCUAGCCCAUGCCCACAAUCCCUUUUCAUCUUAGCCCCAGCCUAAUUGUCUCAGGGAAGAAGGACCCUCCCUAUCCCACCCACUGUAAAAAUGUCUUAUUUGUUUGGGGCACCUGGGUGGCUCAGUCAGUUAAGCGUCCAACUUCGG